UUUGCGCCUGAACAAAGCCACAGUCAGCUGUACAUAUACACGUUAUAUCUACCUUUGUGUAUAUGUAAAAACAUGCAAUAUCUUGAAAGCCCACUAUAGAAAUAAACUAUUCGUCUACAACAACAGCAUUUAAUCGCAUUUGUGACACUUACACUUGAUAAAAUCAUAGCACAGCUCUAAAGCCUAUCUACCAAGUAAAAUUAACUACAUAAUUUAUUAGUUGCGACUUAUAAAUAGGCUUUGAAGUAAGCUUUCGAUAGACUUUCAACGUAUACGAAGGAAAUAAAGUUAUUUGGAAAAUCAGUCAAUGAGAGAGCUUUGGCAGUACGAUGCGAAAGUGUUGGUAAUUUUUAGUCUACGGUUGACGGCUACUUAUUGGAAUUGGACACACCUUCUCUGGCAACCUGUAUAAUUUACUGUAAUUGUGUGGCGUGCACUGCACAAAGAGCCAAGAGGUACCUACAAAAAAGUGUGGUUGCCUAGCAUAGAACGAUUAUCAAAGUAUCUAACGUUGUUGUAGUGUUUUCACAAUCAGUACAAGUGUCAACAUCGCUGCUGUUAGACAAAUGCCUUACAUUAUUAUACGCGGAAACUUAGCAUCAUACAGCCAUAAAUAUCCGUGGCGUGUGUUAGUCUCCGGACUUAAAGCGGAUGAAAUUGAGCAGUUGAAUAAAUUUUCGUGCGGCGGUUAUAGCGAUGAGACAACAAUAGUAUAUCUGGUACAUCCAUGUAGAAUCUUAUCUGCGCUUGAGAUUUUAGGCUUUCGUGUAGUCGCCUCUUCAUCAACAGCCGUUAAACAGGACUACAACGAGUAUAUGUGGACGAUGCGAAAAGAAUUCCAUGAACCAGAGCCUCUCGAAACAGAAUCCGUUGUACGUGAGAAUCUUUCGAAUAUAGGACGUGAAGCAGCAGGCCUAGGCAACUACCAUAAGGUCGAUUCGCCCGAAUAAGAAAGCGGUUAAAGUAAUCAAAUACAACAAAUCGAAAUCAGAUAUCUGGCGCCUGAUCUCCGUCUACGGAAAUUCCUACAGGGAAAAUAAUUCAAGAAGCAAGAAUUAAAACAAACAACUGUUUUCCAAAACCCCC